GACGAACCGAGCGAACGUUGUUCGGAAUAACUGGGCUUAAAGGGCGCGUAGGCGGGCCGCCAAGUUCGAGGUGAAAUCCUCCGGCUCAACCGGAGAACUGCCUCGAAUACUGGAGGCCUCGAGGCGGGUAGGGGCGUGCGGAACUGUGGGUGGAGCGGUGAAAUGCGUUGAUAUCCACAGGAACUCCGGUGGCGAAGGCGGCACGCUGGACCCGAUCUGACGCUGAGGAGCGAAAGCGUGGGGAGCGAACAGG
rnacentral:rRNA from 1 species